UACGUAGGGUGCAAGCGUUGUCCGGAAUUAUUGGGCGUAAAGAGCUCGUAGGUGGCCUGUCGCGUCGGCUGUGAAAACUCGGGGCUCAACUCCGAGCUUGCAGUCGAUACGGGCAGGCUAGAGUUCGGUAGGGGAGACUGGAAUUCCUGGUGUAGCGGUGAAAUGCGCAGAUAUCAGGAGGAACACCGGUGGCGAAGGCGGGUCUCUGGGCCGAUACUGACACUGAGGAGCGAAAGCGUGGGGAGCGAACAGG
rnacentral:rRNA from 1 species